GUUGAAACACUGGUUCCCAUACGAUCACUGAAGUUAAGCAACAUUGAACCUGGUCAAUACCUAGAUAGGUGACUACUUGGAAUACCAUGUGCUAUA